CGUAACCUCGGGAGAAGGGGUGCUAUUUAGGCUUAACGCCAAGAAUAGGCGCAGUGAAUAUGCCCAAGCGACUGUUGAUCAAAUGCACCGGUCUCUUCUAACCCGUUAGGUGAAGUAUAGGGGCUGACGCAUGCACGGGGCUGGAAGCUUAAGAGGAGGGGGUAGAUUCUGCGAAGCUUCGAAUCGAAGCCCAAGAAAACGGCGGCC
rnacentral:rRNA from 1 species